rnacentral:sRNA from 1 species
GAGGGCUAUGCUUUUUAAACCAGAUGGUUUAAGACAACCCCGGUUACUCCGUCAGCGGAGAAAACCGGGGUUUAUUUCUGUCGAGAGGAGGCUUCCGUUCCGAAAUCGAAAAGGCACUUAAAACC